rnacentral:snRNA from 1 species
UUUCUGCUUGCAGAGUGUUUACUAAAGUUGGGAUGAUGCAGAGAAGAUGAGCAUGGGCCCUGCACACUUGUGAAGCAUUUCAUUUUUUA